GGCGGAUUAAUACCGUAUGAGGUCACAUGCGGGCAUCUAAGUGUGACGAAAGGUUUAGCGGACAUGGAUGGCGAUGCGUCCCAUUAGUUAGUUGGCGGGGUAACGGCCCACCAAGACGACGAUGGGUAGGGGUUCUGAGAGGAAGGUCCCCCACAUUGGAACUGAGACACGGUCCAAACUCCUACGGGAGGCAGCAGUGAGGGAAUAUUGGUCAAUGGGCGGAAGCCUGAACCAGCCAAGUAGCGUGCAGGAAGACGGCCCUAUGGGUUGUAAAACUGCUUUCAGUCGGGAAUAAUUCGUCGGUCGUGACCGACGUUGCAGGUACCGUCAUAAGAAGGACCGGCUAAUUCCGUG
rnacentral:rRNA from 1 species